rnacentral:rRNA from 1 species
CGUAGCGAAAGCUACGCUAAUACCGCAUACGAUCUACGGAUGAAAGCGGGGGAUCGCAAGACCUCGCGCGAUUGGAGCGGCCGAUAUCAGAUUAGGUAGUUGGUGGGGUAAAGGCUCACCAAGCCAACGAUCUGUAGCUGGUCUGAGAGGACGACCAGCCACACUGGAACUGAGACACGGUCCAGACUCCUACGGGAGGCAGCAGUGGGGAAUUUUGGACAAUGGACGCAAGUCUGAUCCAGCCAUUCCGCGUGCAGGAUGAAGGCCCUCGGGUUGUAAACUGCUUUUGUACGGAACGAAAAGGUUUCUCUUAAUACGAGGAGCUCAUGACGGUACCGUAAGAAUAAGCACCGGCUAACUACGUGCCAGCAGCCGCGGUAAUACGUAGGGUGCAAGCGUUAAUCGGAAUUACUGGGCGUAAAGCGUGCGCAGGCGGUUAUGUAAGACAGAGGUGAAAUCCCCGGGCUCAACCUGGGAACUGCCUUUGUGACUGCAUAGCUAGAGUACGGUAGAGGGGGAUGGAAUUCCGCGUGUAGCAGUGAAAUGCGUAGAUAUGCGGAGGAACACCGAUGGCGAAGGCAAUCCCCUGGACCUGUACUGACGCUCAUGCACGAAAGCGUGGGGAGCAAACAGGAUUAGAUACCCUGGUAGUCCACGCCCUAAACGAUGUCAACUGGUUGUUGG